UGGGGAAUAUUGGGCAAUGGACGAAAGUCUGACCCAGCGACGCCGCGUGAGGGAAGAAGGUCUUCGGAUUGUAAACCUCUGUUGACAGGGAAGAAGGAAGUGACGGUACCUGUCGAGGAAGCCACGGCUAACUACGUGCCAGCAGCCGCGGUAAUACGUAGGUGGCAAGCGUUAUCCGGAAUUACUGGGUGUAAAGGGUGUGUAGGCGGGACUGCAAGUCAGAUGUGAAAACUAUUGGCUUAACCAAUAGCCUGCAUUUGAAACUGUGGUUCUUGAGUGUCGGAGAGGUAAAUGGAAUUCCCGGUGUAGCGGUGAAAUG
rnacentral:rRNA from 1 species